rnacentral:piRNA from 1 species
GCAGUGACUCUGGGCUCACAUUCCCA